GACGUAGGGUGCAAGCGUUAUCCGGAUUUACUGGGCGUAAAGUGUUGCGUAGGCGGAUUUGCGCAUUUUGUUUAAAAGGCCAAGGCUCAACCUUGGUUUUGGGCAAAAUAUGGCAAAUCUUGAUGGCUAAAGAGGAUACUAGAACUCUACAUGUAGCAGUGAAAUGCGUUGAUAUGUAGAGGAAUACCAAAGGCGUAGGCAGGUAUCUGGGUAGCACAUGACGCUGAGGCACGACAGCUAGGGGAGCGAA
rnacentral:rRNA from 1 species